UUCAUACACAAACUCACAUAUGAGAGCGUGUUACCAACAAACAAAUAUCCAGACCUAUCCUACUGUAAAAUAACUCACAGUAUACUCUUUUUUUUAUUUCUAACAAGUAAAUCAUGUUCUUUCUUUUCCAGAGUCCUUCCAAAACAUAACAAGAAUGUGUGCGCAAGUGCAAAGGACGAGUGGGUGCAGAACAUCCUAGGACGUCUGAGCGCUAAAAUGAAAAAAAUCUCUCAGCAGCUUCCUAACCAGGUCAACGGUACCUCAGCUUGGGAUGCCACCACAAGCCAGUGAACGUCUCUUCAUGUGACUGUCUUCUUCUACAAGCUGCAAUAUUUGAGACUCUUUUUUUUUGUUAAAUGCUAUUGUUAAUCUUUGUUAUAUGUUGUCCAAACAUAAUCCAAACAACCAAUAAAAGAUUAUACCUAUGAAA